GUAGAAUUAAGUAGGAAUAGGAACUCUCCAGGAAGAAUAAAGAAGUCAUUGUUGCUUCUCACAAAAGGAGGUGACAGGAAAAUGAUUCCAGAGAGAAGUCGAGGCACACUGAAUCAAGGUAGAAAACGGAAGCAGACAUGAAUAAAGCAUUCAAAAGACGUGUUGCUUCUCUGAGGAUCUCUCAAAAGAUACAUCCUUAAAAGUCAGCACUGCAUAGUGCCAGCUCAGAGGGAAGAGACAGAACAGUGAUGACUUGUGACCUGUGCUCUCUUGUUUUCAUCAGUGGAUCCAUAUGAUUGUUCCAUCACAGUUAUGAGUGAGAGCCUGGUACAGAGUCAAGAAAAUCCCAUGGAAUUGAUGAAAGAGGUCAGCUACUCAAGUAUUCUUGCACUUGGAGGAUAAUCAGCUUUAAUUCUCACCUGCAUCCUAAUGCUGCUCAUCUUCUUGUAAUAAAAUAUACAUAUUAACAUUA